UACGUAGGGUGCGAGCGUUAAUCGGAAUUAUUGGGCGUAAAGGGCGCGUAGGCGGCUCGUUAAGUCGGCUGUGGAAGCCCGGGGCUCAACCCCGGAGAGUCGGCCGAUACUGGCGAGCUAGAGUACGGAAGAGGUAGCUGGAAUUCCCGGUGUAGCGGUGAAAUGCGUAGAUAUCAGAAGGAACAUCAGUGGCGAAAGCGGCUUCCUGGUCCAGCACCGACGUUCAGGCACGAAAGCGUGGGGAGCAAACAGG
rnacentral:rRNA from 1 species